AACGAACGCUGGCGGCAUGCCUAACACAUGCAAGUCGAACGAGACCUUCGGGUCUAGUGGCGCACGGGUGCGUAACGCGUGGUAACCUGCCCUUAGGUUCGGAAUAACUCCCCGAAAGGGGUGCUAAUACCGGUUAAUGUCUUCGGACCAAAGAUUUAUCGCCUUUGGAUGGGCCCGCGUUGGAUUAGCUAGUUGGUAGGGUAAAAGCCUACCAAGGCGACGAUCCAUAGCUGGUCUGAGAGGAUGAUCAGCCACACUGGGACUGAGACACGGCCCAGACUCCUACGGGAGGCAGCAGUGGGGAAUAUUGGACAAGGGGCGAAGGCCUGAUCCAGCAAUGCCGGGUGAGAGAGGAAGGCCUUAGGGUUGUAAAGCUCUUUUACCCGGGAUGAUAAUGACAGUACCGGGAGAAGAAGCACCGGCUAACUCCGUG
rnacentral:rRNA from 1 species